rnacentral:rRNA from 1 species
UGGGGAAUUUUGCGCAAUGGGCGAAAGCCUGACGCAGCGACGCCGCGUGGGUGAUGAAGGCCUUCGGGUUGUAAAGCCCUGUGGGGAGGGAAGAAUAAGGGGCGGCUAAUACCCGCACCGAUGACGGUACCUCCUUAGCAAGCACCGGCUAACUCUGUGCCAGCAGCCGCGGUAAGACAGAGGGUGCAAACGUUGUUCGGAAUUACUGGGCGUAAAGCGCGUGUAGGCGGUCUAGCAAGUCGGAUGUGAAAGCCCUUGGCUCAACUGAGGAAGUGCAUUCGAAACUGCGAGACUUGAGUCCCGGAGAGGAUGGUGGAAUUCUCGGUGUAGAGGUGAAAUUCGUAGAUAUCGAGAGGAACACCGGUGGCGAAGGCGGCCAUCUGGACGGUGACUGACGCUGAGACGCGAAAGCAUGGGGAGCAAACAG